GGGGAAGGGGCGAUCGCUGCCCCCCGGUCCCCCCGGGACUCCCUGCGAGGCCGCUGCGCGUUACGUGGAUGACCAUUUCCUAUCAGUCCCAGCAGAUGCUCUUUCCAAAUGACGGAAAGUUUCUGAGUCCACGUUUAAGCACAGACAUUGCGAAACUUUACAGACUUUAGGCUGGCUGUAGAAGAGCAGGACGUGAGAACACUUCAUGCCUGGCAACAAGCACAUUUCUUGCCAGCAGUUGGAGAGGAUAAUGAAAGAAAAAGAGCACUUGGGAAUACUACAAACCACAGCUGGAAAAGCUGAGAUCCUGUGUUAAAACAGAAAUACCUAAGGUCUGCAAACAUUGCUUUGUUGGGCUGUUGCUAAUGCUGUGAGCAAAACCUGGGCUCAAACUGAAAAUAAAAGGGACUUUCUGUUGAACAGAACCGCACAAGUGAAGCGGGGUGUGGGAUUCAGUGAGGUCUCAGGCACGUCUUAGCUUUUGUGAUGGGGUGGAGGAGGAGAAAGGUAUGUGUGUAACCACAUGCAGACCUUGGAGAGCCAGCUGUAGCAGCAAAAGCUGAAGAAAUGGUGCCUGGUACCAAUUCUGUGUUGAAAUAAAGCGCAAUCUGCUGCCACAACAGAAACCCAUGG